rnacentral:rRNA from 1 species
AUUGAACGCUGGCGGCAUGCCUUACACAUGCAAGUCGAACGGCAGCACGGGGGCAACCCUGGUGGCGAGUGGCGAACGGGUGAGUAAUGCAUCGGAACGUGCCCAGUAGUGGGGGAUAACCCGGCGAAAGCCGGGCUAAUACCGCAUACGACCUACGGGUGAAAGCGGGGGACCGUAAGGCCUCGCGCGAUUGGAGCGGCCGAUGGCAGAUUAGGGAGUUGGUGGGGUAAAGGCCCACCAAGCCAACGAUCUGUAGCUGGUCUGAGAGGACGACCAGCCACACUGGGACUGAGACACGGCCCAGACUCCUACGGGAGGCAGCAGUGGGGAAUUUUGGACAAUGGGCGCAAGCCUGAUCCAGCAAUGCCGCGUGCAGGAAGAAGGCCUUCGGGUUGUAAACUGCUUUUGUACGGAACGAAACGGUCCGGGUUAAUACCCUGGGCUAAUGACGGUACCGUAAGAAUAAGCACCGGCUAACUACGUGCCAGCCGCCGCGGUAAGAC